UGAGAGGAUGAUCAGCCACACCGGGACUGAGACACGGCCCGGACUCCUACGGGAGGCAGCAGUGGGGAAUAUUGGACAAUGGGGGGAACCCUGAUCCAGCCAUGCCGCGUGUGUGAAGAAGGCCUUUUGGUUGUAAAGCACUUUAAGCAGUGAAGAAGAAGUUAUGGUUAAUACCCAUAAUGGAUGACAUUAGCUGCAGAAUAAGCACCGGCUAACUCUGUGCCAGCAGCCGCGGUAAUACAGAGGGUGCGAGCGUUAAUCGGAAUUACUGGGCGUAAAGCGAGCGUAGGUGGCUUAAUAAGUCAGAUGUGAAAUCCCCGGGCUUAACCUGGGAACUGCAUCUGAAACUGUUCGGCUAGAGUAGGUGAGAGGGAAGUAGAAUUCCAGGUGUAGCGGUGAAAUGCGUAGAGAUCUGGAGGAAUACCGAUGGCGAAGGCAGCUUCCUGGCAUCAUACUGACACUGAGGUUCGAAAGCGUGGGUAGCAAACAGGAUUAGAUACCCUGGUAGUCCACGCCGUAAACGAUGUCUACUAGUCGUUGGGUCCCUUGAGGACUUAGUGACGCAGCUAACGCAAUAAGUAGACCGCCUGGGGAGUACGGCCGCAAGGUUAAAACUCAAAUGAAUUGACGGGGGCCCGCACAAGCGGUGGAGCAUGUGGUUUAAUUCGAUGCAACGCGAAGAACCUUACCUGGUCUUGACAUACACAGAAUCUUGUAGAGAUACGAGAGUGCCUUCGGGAAUUGUG
rnacentral:rRNA from 1 species